AGAGUUUGAUCAUGGCUCAGGACGAACGCUGGCGGCGUGCCUAAUACAUGCAAGUCGAGCGAGCGGAACUAACAGAUUUACUUCGGUAAUGACGUUAGGAAAGCGAGCGGCGGAUGGGUGAGUAACACGUGGGGAACCUGCCCCAUAGUCUGGGAUACCACUUGGAAACAGGUGCUAAUACCGGAUAAGAAAGCAGAUCGCAUGAUCAGCUUUUAAAAGGCGGCGUAAGCUGUCGCUAUGGGAUGGCCCCGCGGUGCAUUAGCUAGUUGGUAAGGUAAAGGCUUACCAAGGCGAUGAUGCAUAGCCGAGUUGAGAGACUGAUCGGCCACAUUGGGACUGAGACACGGCCCAAACUCCUACGGGAGGCAGCAGUAGGGAAUCUUCCACAAUGGACGCAAGUCUGAUGGAGCAACGCCGCGUGAGUGAAGAAGGUUUUCGGAUCGUAAAGCUCUGUUGUUGGUGAAGAAGGAUAGAGGUAGUAACUGGCCUUUAUUUGACGGUAAUCAACCAGAAAGUCACGGCUAACUACGUGCCAGCAGCCGCGGUAAUACGUAGGUGGCAAGCGUUGUCCGG
rnacentral:rRNA from 1 species